UACGUAGGGGGGCGAGCGUUGUCCGGAUUCAUUGGGCGUAAAGAGCUCGUAGGCGGCUUGGCAAGUCGGAUGUGAAAACUCCAGGCUCAACCUGGAGCCGCCAUUCGAUACUGCUAUGGCUAGAGUCCGGUAGGGGAGUGUGGAAUUCCCGGUGUAGCGGUGAAAUGCGCAGAUAUCGGGAGGAACACCGAUGGCGAAGGCAGCACUCUGGGCCGGUACUGACGCUGAGGAGCGAAAGCGUGGGGAGCGAACAGG
rnacentral:rRNA from 1 species